CCUACGGGAGGCUGCAGUGGGGAAUCUUGGGCAAUGGACGCAAGUCUGACCCAGCAACGCCGCGUGAAGGAAGAAGGCUUUCGGGUUGUAAACUUCUUUUAAGGGGGAAGAGCAGAAGACGGUACCCCUUGAAUAAGCCACGGCUAACUACGUGCCAGCAGCCGGGGGUAUACGUAGGUGGCAAUCUGUGUCCGGAUUUACUGGGUGUAAAGGGCGUGCAGCCGGAGAGACAAGUCAGAUGUGAAAUCCGCAGGCUCAAACUGCGAACUGCAUUUGAAACUGGUUCCCUUGAGGAUCGGAGAGGGCACCGGAAAUCCCGGUGUGGCGGGGAAAUGCGUAGAAAUUAGGAAGAACACCAGUGGCGAAGGCGGAUGACUGGACGACAACUGACGGUGAGGCGCGAAAGCGUGGGGAGCAAACAGGAUUAGAUACCCCGGUAGUC
rnacentral:rRNA from 1 species